GAUGAAGAACGCAGCGAAAUGCGAUACGUAAUGUGAAUUGCAGAAUUCAGUGAAUCAUCGAAUCUUUGAACGCAUAUUGCGCUCUUUGGUAUUCCGAAGAGCAUGCUUGUUUGAGUAUCAGUAAACACCUCAAAGCUUUUGGAUUUUUUAAUCGAAAAGCUUUGGACUUGAGCAAUCCCAACACCAAUCUUUUUGAGAUCGGUGGCGGGUUGCUUGAAAUGCAGGUGCAGCUGGACAUUCUCCUGAGCUAAAAGCAUAUUCAUUUAGUCCCGUCAAACGGAUUAUUACUUUUGCUGCAGCUAACAUAAAGGGAGUUUGACCGUAUUGGCUGACUGAUGCAGGAUUUCACAAGGGUCGGCAACGAUUCUUGUUAAACUCGAUCUCAAAUCAAGUAAGACUACCCGCUAAACUUAAGCAUAUCAAUAAGCGGAGGA
rnacentral:misc_RNA from 1 species